UAGGGAAUCUUCCGCAAUGGGCGAAAGCCUGACGGAGCAACGCCGCGUGAGUGAUGAAGGUCUUCGGAUCGUAAAACUCUGUUAUUAGGGAAGAACAAAUGUGUAAGUAACUAUGCACGUCUUGACGGUACCUAAUCAGAAAGCCACGGCUAACUACGUGCCAGCAGCCGCGGUAAUACGUAGGUGGCAAGCGUUAUCCGGAAUUAUUGGGCGUAAAGCGCGCGUAGGCGGUUUUUUAAGUCUGAUGUGAAAGCCCACGGCUCAACCGGUGGGGGUCAAUUGAAACUGGAAAACUUGAGUGCAGAAGAGGAAAGUGGAAUUCCAAGUGUAGCGGUGAAAUGCGCAGAGAUAUGGGGGAACACCAGUGGCGAAGGCGACUUUCUGGUCUGUAACUGACGCUGAUGUGCGAAAGCGUGGGGAUCAAACAGG
rnacentral:rRNA from 1 species